rnacentral:rRNA from 1 species
UUCGGCUUAGAGUUUGAUCCUGGCUCAGGAUGAACGCUGGCGGCGUGCUUAACACAUGCAAGUCGAACGAGAAGCCUUUUGCUUGCAAGAGGUGGAGAGUGGCGGACGGGUGAGUAACACGUUGGUGACCUGCCUUGAGGAGGGGGACAACUGUGGGAAACCACAGCUAACACCCCGGAUGUUAAGGAGCUUAGACGUCCUUAACUAAAACUACGGUGCCUCAAGAGGGGCCUGCGGGCUAUCAGCUUGUUGGUGGGGUAAAGGCCUACCAAGGCAAAGACGGCUAGGGGGCGUAAGAGCGCGACCCCCCACAAUGGGACUGAGACACGGCCCAUACUCCUACGGGAGGCAGCAGUGAGGAAUAUUGCGCAAUGGGGGCAACCCUGACGCAGCAACGCCGCGUGAACGAAGAAGGCCUUCGGGUUGUAAAGUUCUUUUCUGGGGGACGAUAAUGACGGUACCUCAGGAAUAAGUCCCGGCUAACUAC